UACAGAGGGUGCAAGCGUUAAUCGGAUUUACUGGGCGUAAAGCGCGCGUAGGUGGCCAAUUACGUCAAAUGUGAAAUCCCCGAGCUUAACUUGGGAAUUGCAUUCGAUACUGGUUGGCUAGAGUAUGGGAGAGGAUGGUAGAAUUCCAGGUGUAGCGGUGAAAUGCGUAGAGAUCUGGAGGAAUACCGAUGGCGAAGGCAGCCAUCUGGCCUAAUACUGACACUGAGGUGCGAAAGCAUGGGGAGCAAACAGG
rnacentral:rRNA from 1 species